rnacentral:rRNA from 1 species
AUGGAGGGCCUUCUACAUUGGGACUUCUCGCCCGGCCUCGCGGUCGCGGCUCAGGUGCGUUGACGUUUUGGAUCUUUUGUGCAUUUCUCCCCUGAUGGAUCGACCAAGGAGUUUUUAUUGGUUGUGUACUUUUCAUCAGCCUCCUUCUCUUUGACUGAAGAAUCAGUGGCCAUUGCUCUACAAUGCUGCAUCGGA